GUGAAUCAUCAAAUUUUUGAACGCAAAUUGCACUCUCUGGUAUUCCGGAGAGUAUGCCUGUUUGAUGGUCAGUUUAAAUAAAAAUCUGUGUUGUUUCUUCCUUUCGUGGUUACGCACCUGUUUUGUUUCGUCUUGUCUUCGGUUUAGUGACUUAAAAUGUAGCAUGUUUUUUUUUUAACGUAUUUAAAUGAUUUUACGUACGUUUUCGAUAUCGUAUACUAUUUGU
rnacentral:misc_RNA from 1 species